CACUAAUUAUUUUUGCAAAACUCACAUACACAAAUUUAGGCUUAUUUCGGUUUACACAAAAUGUUUGGCAUAUAAAUUCACAUACACAAUUUGGCAUAUCAAAAUUUUCCGCUCUUUACUUGGCUGCUGGUGUACCAGGACAACGUUGCUGCCGUUCACUGUUGUUUGCUUGGCCUAGCUUUCCUCCUGUUCCUACUUCUGGUGGCACCAUGUUUAUUAAAUAUUUAUUAAUUUAUUUUUUUUAUUAAACAAAAUUAUCUUUAUAUUAUUUUAUUAUAUUUAUUUUUAUAUUCUUUUCUUUUCUUUAUUUAUUUACUUACUCAUAAAUUUUUAUUCAUUUAUUUAUUCAAAUUUUUGUUUAUUUUAAAUUUUU
rnacentral:lncRNA from 1 species